UCUUUCCAGGGAUUGAGGUCAAGCUGAUUGGCUUGUAGUUCCCCAGUGUAAGGGGCUGGAAGACAUUCACCCAGGAUGCCUUACCAAGCAGGAACAAGGACCUCACUGAAGCAAGACUUCCGUGCUGUGGUGGGAGCUCCCGGUUCACCCCAGCCCAGCUUUACCACCUCAGCAGUUCCGGGGAGGCGCGGACCCAUCGCUGCGGGCUGUCCAUUUGAGCCUGAGACAGCCGUGGCAAAAUGAAGAUUUUUAAAAGGAAACAGAUGGCUCCCAGGUGGAGGGAAGAAGGAUCCGUUGCCCCAGUGGUUCCACUGUGGGACCCGGGGAUGCAAAGCUGGUACAAGCCAGUGAGAGAGUGAUGGGGAACACCAAACCCUCCCCACCACAUGCUGCCUAGCAGCGGCAAGGAUUUCACCUGCUUGUUAAGGGGUCAGAUGCCACCAAUUAAGUCCGGCAGGGCAGCAAUUAGCAGAAGAGAACAGCAGAUUCCCCAAUGUGCUGAGGAACACAGGGAAAACCCAAGGCUGUGAGGAAGCCACUGCUACACCUGUGGAAUGAUGGGAACUCAAGUGUCUUGCAACUUGGUUCAGCAGCAGUCAGACUAAAAAGGAGAAA